rnacentral:rRNA from 1 species
GAUGAACGCUGGCGGCGUGCCUAAUACAUGCAAGUCGAACGCUGGAAAUCUAGCUUGCUCGCUUGAAGGAGUGGCGAACGGGUGAGUAAUACAUAAGCAACCUACCCACGAAGACUGGGAUAAUCUCUGGAAACGGGGACUAAUACCGGAUAGGUAAUCGGAAGGCAUCUUCUGAUUAUUAAAGGUUAAAAACACUGGUGGAUGGGCUUAUGGCGCAUUAGUUAGUUGGUGAGGUAACGGCCCACCAAGACGAUGAUGCGUAGCCGGCCUGAGAGGGUGAACGGCCACAUUGGGACUGAGACACGGCCCAGACUCCUACGGGAGGCAGCAGUAGGGAAUGUUCGGCAAUGGGGGAAACCCUGACCGAGCAACGCCGCGUGAGUGAUGACGGCCUUCGGGUUGUAAAGCUCUGUUGUAAGGGAAGAACGGUAGAUAGAGAAUAUCUAAAUGACGGUACCUUACCAGAAAGCCACGGCUAACUACGUG